rnacentral:rRNA from 1 species
UACAGAGGGUGCGAGCGUUGUCCGGAAUCACUGGGCGUAAAGGGCGCGUAGGCGGCUUGGCAAGCGUGCGGUGAAAGCUCAGGGCCCAACCCUGAGUCUGCCGUGCGAACUGCCGGGCUUGAGCACAGUAGAGGCAGAUGGAAUUCCGGGUGUAGCGGUGGAAUGCGUAGAGAUCCGGAAGAACACCGGUGGCGAAGGCGGUCUGCUGGGCUGUGUCUGACGCUGAGGCGCGAAAGCGUGGGGAGCAAACAGG